AUGAAAAGCAAGGCACCAUAGAAUUUAUGGGGUGGAAAAGUGCAGAUAAGGCAAAAGAGGUUGGGCCUCUCAAACAUAAGGUGUUAAAUGUGGUCAGAACAACAAAACAAAAGGGAAGUGCCUGAUAUGGACCUCAUUUGGAAGACCCCAGCAGGAACCACCCAUUUUUCGAUGACCACAUGUUGAGAGAUCCACUAGACUAACAUCUUUGGAUAUGAACGUGGAUUUUUUUUUCCUUCAACAAAUGGAGUGCAGAGGAGGAUGUUGAGAGUAAAAGGAAGAAGCACGGUGAGAGGGAAUGAAUAGAAGAGCCAUGUGGUAUAUGAUGGAGCCAUGAGCUUUAGGAUGGAAUCAAACAACCAGGAAGCAGAAAGAAUGGCAUAAAAGAAGGGGAAAGAGAAGAGAGAGCUAAAUAACUGCCAAAAAAAAAUCUA